CUCCUACGGGAAGCAGCAGUGGGGAAUUUUGGACAAUGGGCGCAAGCCUGAUCCAGCCAUGCCGCGUGCAGGAUGAAGGCCUUCGGGUUGUAAACUGCUUUUGUACGGAACGAAAAGUCUCUUUCUAAUAAAGAGGGAUCAUGACGGUACCGUAAGAAUAAGCACCGGCUAACUACGUGCCAGCAGCCGCGGUAAUACGUAGGGUGCAAGCGUUAAUCGGAAUUACUGGGCGUAAAGCGUGCGCAGGCGGUGAUGUAAGACAGUUGUGAAAUCCCCGGGCUCAACCUGGGAACUGCAUCUGUGACUGCAUCGCUGGAGUGCGGCAGAGGGGGAUGGAAUUCCGCGUGUAGCAGUGAAAUGCGUAGAUAUGCGGAGGAACACCGAUGGCGAAGGCAAUCCCCUGGGCCUGCACUGACGCUCAUGCACGAAAGCGUGGGGAGCAAACAGGAUUAGAUACCCUGGUAGUCCACGCCCUAAACGAUGUCAACUGGUUGUUGGGAAUUCACUUUCUCAGUAACGAAGCUAACGCGUGAAGUGACCGCC
rnacentral:rRNA from 1 species